UACGGGGGGAGCAAGCGUUGUUCGGAUUUACUGGGCGUAAAGGGCGCGUAGGCGGCCAGCACAAGUCAGUUGUGAAAUCUCCGAGCUUAACUCGGAAAGGUCAACUGAUACUGUGCGGCUAGAGUGCGGAAGGGGCAACUGGAAUUCUUGGUGUAGCGGUGAAAUGCGUAGAUAUCUGGAGGAACACCGGUGGCGAAGGCGGCGUUCUGGACUGCAACUGACACUGAGGAACGAAAGCCAGGGGAGCAAACGGG
rnacentral:rRNA from 1 species